GAGGGUAUAGCUCAAGUUGUAGGGUGCAUGCUUAGCAUGCAAGAGGCCCUGGGUUCAAUCCCCAGUACCUCCA
rnacentral:tRNA from 1 species